CAUUGAAAUCUCUGUUAUAGGUUUUUCCUCCUUACAUGCAUGUGUCCUGGUUUUAACCAUCGCUGCUGCAGCUUUUGCAGUUUUAAGCUGCAUUCCUGCUGUUUGGUGUUUUAACAAAGCAGAUGUAAGCAACAGGGCUCUGUUGCUAUACUGCCUUCAAGUCUCAGUUCCAUGCAUCCUGAUAUCCAUCGCAUUCUCCAUAUGGGGGAAAAUUGAAAGCUCUUUUGUAGAGGCUAAUGUUUGCAGUACCAUAAAUCUCAUGAGGAUCCUAGUGAUAUUUAAGGUGGCUCCAUAUAUAAAGUUACCCCACACCUGUGACAUUGAAGUAUGUAAAAACCUACUUCUACAUAAGCUACGUAAGUUAAAGCCCCAUCUCUGCCCCUCUUCUUGAUUGAUGGAUAAGUAUUAUGUAUUCAGCCCGUCUAAAACGGCUGCACAAAUUACCUUGCUCAUUUCAGCCCACCUGCGGUCAAGUUGUAACAGCCUUUUUUUUUCAUCUUUAGAUUAACGUAGGUAGAAAUCCUUUUGAGUCUUUCUUUGUUUCAUGUUCUAUAUUGUUCUUUAGCUCUAUAUUUGGCACUUAUUAGUUUGUUAGUGAUAGUAAUGUUAGUAUUUUUAUAGUUCAUUCCAGUCCCAGAUCUAGACUGCUGUGAUUGGGGGGCAGACAUAAAUUUGGGGGGGACAACUUUUUAUUCAAGGCACAGUACGUGCUAUAGUUUUCAGGCCUGCAUUGCUUACUGAUUUUUAAGAACUUCAUUAUACAGAUAAGAAAUGAAAAUACAGGGAAAACAUACCCUGCAUUCCAUAAAUAUAGAUAUUGGUCUGACAUUUGUGUUUUUUAUUGAACAUAAUAUUUACACAUCUGUUGGCAGCAUUGCGAGAUUCAAAGAGAAAGCACUUAAUUUGAAUGAAAAGUGGAUAACGAAAUGGCGUGCUCCCUAGCUAGCUUUUUAAAAAUAUUUGGCGGAAGCUACUUAUAAUGGUCCCCUCUCACCCUCAGAUACACUAUGACAAUGCCCCCUGGGCACACAGUGAGGUCCAUAUAGAAACACUUUUGUUGAGAACGGUGUGAAAGAACUUUACAGGCCUGCACACAGCCCUGACCUUAGCCUUAUCCAACACCUUUGAGAUCCAUCGGAGAGCCAACUGCAGUGCCCGACCUCACAAAUGCUCUUCUGGCUGAAUAGAAGCAAAUCCCUGCAGCAAUGCUCCAACAUGUAAUAUAAAGCCAUCCCAGAAGAGUGGAGGUAUACAUUACCAGCGAUUCACUGACUUGGCUCUGCCUUUGGUGUAUAUUGUUGUUACAGCAUGGAUAAAUUCUGGUAAGUGUACAUACUGCAAAAAUACUUUUGGUGGCUUAGCAACAUAGUCAAGUGCAGACAAGACAGUUUAUUAAAGGCAUACGAUGUACAAUUUUUUCCUUGAAAAUAUAAAAUAACCAUGCUAAAACAUAUCUAUGAAGCACUGGCAAUUUGUGAACCUUUACCUGUAUUUGUUAUUCUAAGAUGUGUUUGGGACAUUUUGGGCGUGGCGCUCUUUUCUGUGUGGGGAGGGGUGGGUGUGGCUACAGAGCCUGUGGUUUGGGAUCAGAUUUCAGUGGAGUGCUUAUUGCUACCUUGCUAGUGAAGAAGCCCAGAUACAGCAAAAGCAAAAAGACAAGCUGACAGGGCUCGUUCAAGAACUACAGUUAACCUUAGAAUUGCAUUUCCUUGGUAGUCUGCAGAAGUUUGCCAAGAGGAUGAAAAGCAAUGUUGAGUUGGCUUGUUUUGUGUUGGAUCUGUAAGUAACAUUACCUGCUGUGCGAAGUCACUCAUUACAUGGUACUAACGUUUACCUCCUAUCCAGCUAGAUAGUACAUUAGGUCGGGUACUUGGGGUGAGUGGACAGGGUUGAUGAUGGAGGAGGAGACUGUAAACACAGCAACACAGCAUGGCCAAAUAAAAACCUUGCAUAGAGAAACAUGCUUUAUUUCUCUACAAGAAUCCAAUUACAGCUUUUGAGACAGAUGUUCCAUGUGAGGUUUAAAGGACAAUCUAGUAUCCAGACAAAUUCCUAAAUAUUUCAAUUUGGGUACCCUGAAGUGUACGAAUGCAGACGUUAGAAGUUUUCCGUAAUAAAUCUCCUGAAAAUAAAAUGUGUUUUAUUUUAUCAAACAUUAAAACAAGCUUGUGAUUAAUAAGAGCUAACUGAAAAGCAUCAAAUGCAGACUGUAAAGUAGUAAUGGCCUGGUUAAACUUGGAGCUAUACAAGGCAUACAAUAUUGUAUCAUUGCAUAAAAAUGGACAUUGCAAUGCACUGUUGAGAUUGCUGUUAUUUGUAUUAAGUGUGGAUAAAAGUGGACAUAGAAUAGACCCUUGUGGGACACCUUUACUAAUUUCAAGAGAGCUUGAUUUAAUACCAUCAGUCGUCAGCAACAGUAGCUUGAGUUUUCUCCAAGAGGUAUGGAUAAAAGCAGUCAAGAGAAAGUUCAUCCAAUCCAAAGGAGGAUUACAUUUUUCAAUAAAAUAUUAUGGUCAACAGCGUCCGAUGCCUUGGAUUGGUUGAUAAAGAGUGCGGCACAAUGCCGCUUAUUAUCCAAAGAGUUGACAAUAUCAUUAAUCUCAAAAAUUACUGCUAGUAUUGUGAUAUGACAGGCCUAAAACCUGAAUGUUGUGGUUGUAGAAUGUCUUUCGUCUCCACAAAGGCCCAUUGCUGAGAAUUAGCCAGUGAUAAGACUUUGGCUAAACAGGAAAAUUUUGAAAUUGGACGAUAAUUGUUUAGAUCGCUGGUACAGCCAAUACAGUAUACAGUAUAUAGAGGGAUAACCUGAGCUGCAAUCCAUAAUUUUGGGAUUCUACCUGAAAUAAAAGUUAUAUUAAAAAUGUGAGCAAGUGGUAUGCCCAUUAUAUGAGCCCUGAGACACAAAAGGCAAGGUCAAGUCAAGAUUGUCUUGUCCGACUGACGUCCUUGUAUUUUUGCUAGCUAGUGCAUUGUAAACUUCAUAAUAACUUAUAGGUCUAAAAGAGCAUUUGCUAGGACAAAAUGAAUUGGAUGAAGUUCCUAUUUUUGGACUGAGGGUAGCUAUCUGGAACAAUUUCAAAAGACAGCCUAUUAAACAAAUGGCCAUAGGACAUAAAAUGAUGAUUAAAAGCUUCCAUCAUAUCUGUUUUAUUUAUAAUAAAAUAAUUUAAAUGAAAAUGCAAGAAGGGAGAGUAGUGAUGGAAUUAUUUUUCAGUGAUUUCACCAUUUUCCAAAAGCUAUGUCCAUCUCUACCAAAGUUUGAAAGAGAGGUCAGGUAAUAAUCGGACUGGACUUUUCUUAUCAGGUAAAUGCAUCAGUGCUCAGUUUCCUAAAGUUAAGCUAAUUAGCAGACGUACCAGUCUUCUAACUUAGGACCAAGCUUUGUCUCUGAUAUGAAUAGCUGCAGAAUGAUCUGAGGAACACCAGGGGUUAAACUGGUUUUUAAUCCUGAAGUUUUGACAGGGGGCAUGUUUUCAGCAGUAGAAUUUGAAAACACAUGAGAGAAAUGGUCCAAAGUUUGGUCGGAAUCAAGGAUGUAACAAGUUAUUUCUAAUUCAGAGUAAACAGAUCAUGAAGAGAUAACCUUGUUCAACAAAAUAAUUGAAAUUUCAUUUUGUAAUAAUACUGGCUCUGAAUGUUUGAUUUCUAGCUUUUUGGAUACAUCUAAUUUGCCAGUGGUCACUGCUGUCUUCAGCAGAGUCCUCACAAGCUUGGUAUUUAAAUUGCCUAUUCGUUGGUAUAAUGUCAGUGUAGUAGUCAUGUUCAGUACUUUGUCACACAUCCUUUGCAUGCAAUGACUGCUUGAAUUCUUUGAUCCUUAGUCAUCACCAUUUGCUCAGUAUCUUCUCUGGUGAUGCUCUGCCAGGCCUGUACUGCAGCCAUCUUC